rnacentral:lncRNA from 1 species
GGAUUUCAAACCUUCUGGGUUUCUUCCCAGCGCUAAAUCCUGUCGACUGGAUUCACUAGGAUGAAUAGAGAAAGAAGUGUUACAUUUUAAGAUAAUUUCUUUUCUAAACACACAGAAAGUUUUGAAACCAAUGGAGAGAUCAACACAAGCUUUGGAGAGGAGAUCAAAAUAUCUGCUUCACUGGAAGGAGUUUUGGAUUGCUCAACAAGGUUCAGAUCUGUGGCAUAAUCAGGCUUCCUAAUCCUGAACCAAAGUUGUUGUUGUAUCUCGUAGUUGUCACCUGAGAGCUGACUGACCUGUUUCAAGCAUAUGUGAGAUGCCUUCUGGAAAUGCCCGGAAGCAUAUAGCUAAUGGGAUGAGGCAUUUCAAGGUUGAACUUCAGCAAGAGCAAGUGGGAUAAAGGGCAAAAAGCAGCACAUUCCUUUCAAAAUGUCCCCAUUUUAAACUGCAGGCUAGAGUAGACAAUGGAAAUAUAUGACAUAUAAAGAAACUGGUGAGAUUAUUAAGCAGAGGGCCUUCUGGGGAGCAUUAAAGAGUGAGCAAGAAAAAUUUCUCAGACAUGGUGAUUCUAGAAUUGAAAAAUCAUAGACUCUUUCUCUUCUCUCUCCUUUGAGAGUUUCCAGAUGAAUUCUUGGAUCUGGCUACUGAGCAAAUAUAUGAAUAAUAACCUAGGAUCAGCUGGGUAUAAGAGGUUUCCACCAGAAGUCCAUGAAAACCAAUGUUUUUAAGCAUCUAUUGGGCAACUACCAUAAACAAUCAGCAAGAUGUUUAAACAGUUGAUUCUGCCGGCGGCCCAACCAGUUUUUAACUGUAUCACGAAAACUGGCCUGGGGGUACAGUCUGAGAUUAUUCCAGCCCUGCUUUUACACCGCCAGAAAUUCCCUUUCUGUUACAAAUUUCUACCCCAGAGAGGUUUGCAUAUUCUUGGCAUUUUCACUGUGCAUCAGUGAAUCAGCUAGCCUACGGGCCAAGGAGAGGGGAAAAAAAUCCCAAAUAAAACUCAACCCAGUUAGGAUGUCUUCAUCUAUUUUUCAGUGGGAAAAAAUACAGCUGGACUCAGUGACUUCAGUCAAAAGCAAACAUUACUAGUUGCUUCAUUUUUCUAAUUUUUAUUUUUGACUCUCAAGUUUUGGAGGGCAUAAUAAAGACAUAGCCUCAGCAAAGUCACUUAGAAGAUUGAGUUCGUUAUUUUGCAAAGCUUGGGUAGUGACACUUCUGCAAAAUGCACAAGCACAUGAGCAGAGAGAUGUGUGAAUUCAGGAAAGCAGCCAAAUGCACAUCAGAGCUGAGGAAUGUCACAGCGAAAUGAAGAAAACUUGUAAACACCUAUCUGUAUUUUUAGGUAGAGAAUGUUCUAACAUAUUGCCAAUGGGUGCUGCCUGUGUGUUCCUUCCCCUAAGCUUUAAACUCAACUGAUAUUAAAGGUGAUUUGAAAACAAUGAAAA